rnacentral:rRNA from 1 species
GACGAACGUUGGCGGCGUGCCUAAUACAUGCAAGUCAACUGAAAUACCGGUAGCAAUACUGGUAUGGAGGUGGCGCACGGGUGAGUAACACGUAGGUAAUCUGCCUUCAGGUCUGACAUAACCCAUCGAAAGGUGAGCUAAUAUCAGAUGAUGCAGCGGCUUGACAUCAAGACAGUUGUUAAAGCUUCGGCGCCUGAAGAUGAGCCUGCGUCUGAUUAGCUAGUUGGC